AUUGAACGCUGGCGGCAGGCCUAACACAUGCAAGUCGAACGGAGUGGCGGACGGGUAAGUAAUGGCUAGGAAUGUGCCUCGUAGUGGGGGAUAACGACAAGAACCGGGAACUAAUACCGCAUACUAUCAGCAGAGCCUAGGUCGGAUUAGCUAGGUGGUGGGGUAAGGGCCUACCAAGGCGACGAUCCGUAACUGGUCUGAGAGGAUGAUCAGUCACACGGGAACUGAGACACGGUCCAGACUCCUACGGGAGGCAGCAGUGGGGAAUAUUGGACAAUGGGCGAAAGCCUGAGGCAGCCAUGCCGCGUGUGUGAAGAAGGCCUUCGGGUUGUAAAGCACUUUCAGCGGGGAGGCGUUACCAGCAGAAUAAGCACCGGCUAACUUCGUGCCAGCAGCCGCGGUAAUAC
rnacentral:rRNA from 1 species